rnacentral:rRNA from 1 species
UACGAAGGGUGCAAGCGUUAAUCGGAAUUACUGGGCGUAAAGCGCGCGUAGGUGGUUCAGCAAGUUGGAUGUGAAAUCCCCGGGCUCAACCUGGGAACUGCAUCCAAAACUACUGAGCUAGAGUACGGUAGAGGGUGGUGGAAUUCCUGUGUAGCGGUGAAAUGCGUAGAUAUAGGAAGGAACACCAGUGGCGAAGGCGACCACCUGGACUGAUACUGACACUGAGGUGCGAAAGCGUGGGGAGCAAACAGG